CUAAACAGAACAGAUAUUGUUAGCAGAUGUCUAGAGUGCAAAAUUCUUAAUACCCUUUUAGUGAUACCUACACCAGAUAAACCUCAGUCAUGAAAAUUGAAGACCAUUUUUGGGAUCUGAGAGAAAGCCAAAGUUUAUUUAUAUAGAAACCUUGAGCCUAAAUGUGGCUGAAGGUAGUUUUGGUGACGUUACUGAGUCCAAUCCACAAGAGGAAAGAAAUAAUUAUUUUAAAAAGAGCAACCAUUAUCAAUUCGUAAUAAAAAAACGUGGUGAAUUAUGUUCCAAAGAAAUAGAAGGGUUUCUGAGAAAAUAUAAAUUGAACAAAUUACUGUGGUCUAUGAGGUUCUUUACACAUUAAAACAGUUAGUUUUUCUUGCCUGGUUAGUAGACGUCCACUCUUCGAUAGAAUUAACAAAAGUUUUAAAUUCAACCGGACAAUGAGCAAUAUCUUCAAAUCCUGGUACUGUGAGCAUGUCGAAAAUCUCUUUCAAUCUAUUUCUGAUGCAUCUGGGCACGUAAGGUUCAAGUCCAGUACGUCGAGCGACUGCCCAAACCGAUGCAUAUUCCCACAUUUGGUUACCUACGAAUGGAGCAAUACGGAACGCCGUACGAUUAUAAUGUAAACGCGGCUUGGUCCCCACGAAUGGGCAAUUCUUAGGAACUAUGAGAAAUAUAAAAUUGGUUAAGUGAGAAUCUUUGUAAGAAUUUAGAUCAGUUAUGUUUGUUCAUUAAUAAAGUAUUGACAAAAAUUGAAAAAUGUUGUGUUAGAGAAGAACUUUAAUUAAAUAAUUUCAAAUAUU